UGAUCUAAAAUUUGACAAUACCCUUGGAUUGAGGCUGUUUCCUGUCAUUCGGAACAACAUCCGAGGACAGACUGAUGUUAAUAACAGCAAGAACAGAAGGCCCCAAAGUAGAAAAUUAAUCUAGGUGGGAACGCAUCCACUUCAGUCAUUUUAGAUGCAGAUCAGGAGGAAGAGGAGAUGAGAGGUUCAGGGAGGAGCUGAGCUGUUACUGCACUAAAGAAGAGACACAAACUUCCACAUUCAACACACAAACAUUAACUCUGCUCAACAUGCUGUCUUUGCUCACUUCUGGAUUUAUUCUGCUGGUUCUGCUCAUUGGAACAGAUGUAAACUGUCAACAACUCACUGCACUGAAGACUAAGGAGUCCAGUUUAGAGGGCGGUUCUGUUACUCUGUCCUGUAGUUACACCAAAGGUUCUGCUAAUUAUUUGUUCUGGUAUCGACAAAAUCCAGGAAAAUCUCCACAGUUCCUGAAGUCUCACUCACCUUUCAGUGGAGCAGAACAUCUGGACAGACUGAAAUUUGAAGGAAGCAAAGAAGAAAUGAGGAUGACUAUCUCCUCUGCUGCAGUGACAGAUUCUGCUGUGUACUACUGUGCUGUGGAGCCCACAGUGACAGGAAACACCAGAACUCUGUACAAGAACCUGCAAUACUCCAUAACAUCCACUAGAGGGCCUCACAAUGUUCCACCUCUGGUUUGUUAGG